rnacentral:misc_RNA from 1 species
UACGAAGGGGGCUAGCGUUGUUCGGAAUCACUGGGCGUAAAGCGCACGUAGGCGGACUUUCAAGUCAGGGGUGAAAUCCCGGAGCUCAACUUCGGAAUUGCCUCUGAUACUGUUGGUCUCGAGUCCGGAAGAGGUGGGUGGAAUUCCUAGUGUAGAGGUGAAAUUCGUAGAUAUUAGGAAGAACACCGGUGGCGAAGGCGGCCCACUGGUCCGGUACUGACGCUGAGGUGCGAAAGCGUGGGGAGCAAACAGG